rnacentral:lncRNA from 1 species
UUCUUAUUUCACUUUCUUCGUAGCCUCAUAAGGGAGGAGACCAGAAAUAGUCAUUUCUUCAUCGUUGUACUGCUAUUUCUGCAGCGUGUCUGCAAUUAUUAUUAGUACUAUUUUGUAUUAUUAGUGUGAACAAAAAAUAUUUCCAAGACUUGAUUUAGAAUAAUAUCAAGACUCUAUGACUUAGAUCCAUUAUCUUUCCCAUUUCUGUUCUUGGUAAUUGUUCUUACUAUAGUACCAAGCCAACAGAAACCUCAAAAAACAUUUGCCAAAAGAACAAAAAUUUCACCUGCUUUUGUUUUCUGCUAUUUUUGAGGUACUUCUCAAUUCUUUGUUCUUUGCUGGUUCUUAUUCUUUUUUUUUGGUUUUUCUACUUUCUUACUGUUUUUCUUUUUUGUGUUUUUCAUGAUCUUGAUUCCCCAUCUUUAUCUAUAACAUACAACAAAUGGCCUAGUUGAUGUCACUUUUUUUGUUUUUUUAUUGAUGUUACUUUGAGAUCAAGAACCAAGCUUAAAUUAGUUGGUCUUCUCAAAGUUCCAAUCUUUUUAAGAAUUCCUCUAAAUAUUUGACUCUGUAGUUCCAUUUUUUAUAGCAUCUGCCCUUCUUUACUGGUUAUUGUUAUUGUGUUUCAUCUAUUUCUUGGUGAUGGUAUUAUUAUUUUUAUGGUUUCUGUUGAUGGUAAUGAUAUGUUGUCUCUUUUACUCUUUUUAUUUUUCUUAAGCCGAGUUUCUAUCAGAAACAACUCUGUGCUCCAUAGAACACUACCCUCCCCACACCCACACCUGUAUAAUUUUACUGGGUUGUUGUUGUUGUAGUUGAAUCUUGGUUGCUAAUUUUUACCUGUACUUCUUGUUCUUCUUCCUUUUGUCUUUUUUGGAUUUUCUGGGGUUGAAUUUGAAGUAAGUAUUGAGUUGAGAAUACCCUUAAUGAGCUUUGAAAGUAAGAUACUAAAUUGAUACAGCUCAAUUAGAUAAACAUAAAUUAUAUGUGCUAAAUUUGUGUAUUUGUAUAUGCUCUUUUAUUUAAUUUUUUUCUCAAACAAGCUAAUUAUUGGAUAUGAGUGAGGCGACGCCACGAUUUGAAGUUUAUGGUAUUAAAUAUUUACAUGACUGAAGAUUAAUAAUAAUAAGCUCCAACAGAAUGAGCUGUAUUUUUGGCUCAGAAAUUGUUUCAUUAUGCUUCACUGUUUUUUUCUCCUUUUCCUUUGAGUUCCUGUCUUAUUGGAACUUAAACAUGAUACUUUGCUGCCAAUAUUCAUUCUUAGGUGCAUUUUCUUUAGCCUUGUCUGCUUCCGUGUUAGAAUAGUCCUAUGUCGGUUAUAGGAUGGGGUAAUUGGUCUCUUUAUAUAGUCUUAUGCAAUCCUCACGUCAUGAGCUAGCUUUCGAGGUUUAUUUAGGCUCAAAGUCCGUUUCUUGAAUAUUCCAUGCCCCGUCAAGUUGAUAAACUGAGUUGAAAUUCAAUGAAGAAGGAAAUAAGAAAACAAAUAGUAGCUUUAGAGGAAAUAGAGAUUGAGGAUAGUUUGACAUAAGGAGAAGGUUACCUUUAAAUGCAAGUCAAUAAAAGAAUAGUGAAACUAAACUUAAAUCACUUAACUCCAUCCCGCAGUUUGGACUUUCUUUAUAUAGUACCUUCUUGUACCCAUGUUAACCAUGAUAUGUUAUGCUAUCCUUUUUAUAUAGUAGUGCAUUUCAAUAAACUAUGAUAUGCCAAUUUACUGAGCAGUGAGACUUUUCUUUAAUUUUGCAGGCUCUGAUUUUGGUUUUGGUUUCGGUUUCUUCUGAAGCAGCUUUUGAUUGAUAUCAUAUACAGAAGGUCACUGUUGCAUCCUAAAGUUAUGACUUGCUUCCCUUCUUUAUUCUGUCGAAAACAUCAUCCAUCAACUAGGCAUCCGUCCGAAUUUGAUGAUGGUAAGCACUAUUGGUCCGCCAUAUAUAUUAUUUUUGGAUGUUAAUUUGUUCAGUAUAUCGAAAACAAUCUAAUAAAUUGAUUCACAACAGAGCUCUCUGGUGUCAAGAACGUUAUUCUUUUCUCCUAUAAAGAGUUAAGAAUUGCCACUGAUGAUUUUAGUCCUGUCAAUAAAAUUGGAGAGGGUGGAUUUGGUUCUGUUUACAAGGUAAUGACGAUUUUUUCCCCUUCUGUAUUGAUAUGAAUUGGUGGUUCAAAUAUUAUGUCUUUAAGAAGUCUUAUACCUUUGGUUUUUUCUAUAUGAUGGUACGAGCAGGGAAGGCUAAGAAGUGGAAAGAUGGCUGCUAUAAAGGUCCUUUCUAGUGAAUCAAAGCAAGGUGUCAAGGAGUUCUUGACAGAAAUUAAAGUAAUUUCAGACGUUGAGCAUGAAAAUUUAGUCAAACUCUAUGGCUGUUGUAUAGAAGAUGAUCACAGGAUAUUGAUCUACAACUAUCUUGAGAAUAACAGCCUUGCUCAAACACUUCUCGGUAAUUCUUAUUUUUUUUUUUUGGGACUUUUAGCAAAAUUUUAGAUGUUACACCUAGUGUUUUAGACCUUGUUUGAGUUAGUGAUUAAGCAAGGAUUGUGUGUGUGUGUUCUGUUUGGGGGGGGGGGUGUAGAUUAAGACGAGUGUUUACCAAGUUAACAUUUUGAGACAAGAUGUUUGAAGUUUUAGUUCAAUUGAGAGCUAAAAGGUCGAGAAGACUAAGGAGUGUUCUGUAAUUCACAUGAUUCAGCAUGAAGUUGAUGCGAAAAUAUGGACUUGAACAAUCAAUGUGUUGUGAGACAUAAAACGAGUGAAAUGAUUCUGUCCUUCUUGCUAGAUUUGCGGCAGAGAUCCUGCAGUCUAUAGGUACUGAAUCUUGAAGAACUCCGACGCGUUGUUUCUUGCUCCUUGUUGUUGCUAUAGUUUUGCAGUCUUGAUAACUAUACACAGAUUCCUAAUGUGCUUUCUCUGAGGCAAACUAGAUAUGCUGUUAGUCCAAUUCCUAUCAGCUUUGGAUUAGGUUAGAUACCCAACAAUGUUUCCUCUACUAUUUUAUAAUUUGAAUUACACUAAAAACUCCACGAUUUCUAGUAUCUUGCGCCACUUGAGUGACCAUAGCUUCUAGAGGGUUAGAUUAAAUACUUAAAUAUAAUUCUUCUAUAUAUUUUGCACAUAGGUGGAGGUCACAGUAGCAUCCAGUUCAGUUGGCGAACACGGACUAAAAUCUGCAUUGGAGUUGCAAAGGGGCUAGCUUAUCUUCAUGAGCAAGUGAAGCCACAUAUAAUUCACCGUGAUAUCAAAGCGAGUAAUAUUCUCCUUGACAAAGACUUGACACCCAAGAUUUCAGAUUUUGGCCUGGCAAAGCUCAUCCCUCCCAACAUGACUCAUGUUAGUACACGCGUGGCUGGAACCAUGUAAGAAUCCUAUCUUCAAACUUUGCUGAUGUCUCUUCUUACCGUUCUGUUGUCAAGUUCCAUCUCGAGUUCGUGCUCAAAAGCAUGUCAAUAGUAGAUUUUUUGAGAUCAUGGCUGAUAUGAAUAGAGGAAUUGCAUAGUGUGUUUGUUAAUGUCUCAUAUAACUCCUACUAAUAGAAAUCAAUAUUCCUCAUAUAACUUGAUUUCUGGACCUUUGAUAUGUUCUUAGCUGCUUUACAGAAUAGGAAGUUACAUUUUAUGGUGAUACUAGUAGUGACUUGUCAAUUGGAGUUAUGCAAGUAAUUAUGUUUUGCGUUUGUGGAUGGAAUCCCCCGAGAAGAGUUAGAAUGGCAGUUUCCGCCCUUUGGGCGGUACCAAAUAAAUGACUGCAUAAUAUAUGGACAAUUCACCACUAAAAAAGUAUGAUCAAAUUACUUGUUGUUCAAUGUUAUCAUAUUCUGUUGCUUUCUAUGGUAUAGCACCUUCUGGUUAAGUAAUACUACUUCUGUUUCAAAUUAGAUGAGGUACUUUUCUUUUUAGUCUGUUCCAAAAUAAAUGACACAAUUCUAAAUUUGGAAAUAAUUCAACUUUAAACUUUCAUUUUACCCUUAAUGAGAAGGUUUUAUAACCACACAAAUGUCAUGGACCCACAAACCUUUUACCCUUAAGCUUUUAAGACCACAAGUUUUACAAGUCUUCUUCUUUUUCUUAAACUCUGUGCCGAGUCAAACUAGCUCAUCUAAAUUAAAACGGAGGGAGUACCAUGUAAUCCAGUGUUUCUGCAAUCAUUAUGUUACUUUUGAACCCGCAUUUACUUACUCCUUUCUACUAAAUACUCUGAGAUAUAGUAUCAUACACUAAAAUCCACGUCUUUUGACCAGAGGUUAUUUGGCACCAGAGUAUGCAAUUAGAGGCCAAGCGACUCGUAAAUCAGAUGUUUACAGUUAUGGUGUUCUUCUGAUAGAAAUCGUCACUGGAAGAUGCAACACAAAUACACGUUUACCAAUUGACGAACAAUAUCUCCUUGAAAGGGUAUGACGUCUCAAACAAUACAUUCAUUUUAAAGAUUGCGUUAUUGCUGCAUUUCACUAGAUCACACACAAAAAGCGAAAUUAAUGUGUCCUGAUUAAUGAGUUCAUGCUCUUUAAAACUAUACUUUUGGAAGUACAUUAAAUUUUCUUGUGGCAAUGAAAUAUGAAUCACUGAAAGAUCAAUAUAACGACGAAGUACCAAUCGAAGAACAAUAUUGUGUCACGCUUUAAAUGACAUUCUGAAAGCUAUAGUUGACAAGAGUGGAUUGCUCUAGUGGUGAGCACCCUCCACUUCCAACCAAGAGGUUGUGAGUUCGAGUCACCCCAAGAGCAAGGUGGGGCGUUCUUGGAGGGAGGGAGCCGAGGGUCUAUCGGAAACAGCCUCUCUACCCCAGGGUAGGGGUAAGGUCUGCGUACACACUACCAUCCCCAGACCCACCUAGUGGGGAUUAUACUGGGUUGUUAUUGUUGUUGUCGUCGUCUGAAAGGCGAAAGCUAUAGUUAAUCAUUUUUGUGUGUGUUACAGACAUGGCAAGUCUAUGAAAGAAAGGAACUGAUAUUGCUCGUAGACACGUCUCUGGACGGGGACUUUGAUGCUGAACAAGCCUGCAGAUUCUUGAAAAUUGGGCUUCUCUGCACUCAAGAUGCGUUAAAGCUUCGUCCAUCCAUGUCGACUAUUCUCAAGAUGCUAACUGGCCAGAUUGAGGUCGAUGACAAUAAGAUAACAAAACCAGGCUUGAUCUCUGAUUUCAUGGAUCUCAAGGUUAAAACUGCUCCUAAACCUCGCCCUGAACAAAUUAACGCGGCAUAUGAUUAUGUAUUAUCCUCAGGAUCUCAAUAUUUAGACAAUUCAACUGUGCCAUCCACGAGUUCUUCUCAAGCUACCACGACGUUCACAACUGUUGUAUAUGAUCGAAGCAUUUGAGCCAGUGGCGGAGCCACCUUAUAGGAAGGGUGACACCCCUUCGCAGGAAAAAUACACUGUGUAGCUAGUUAAAAAAUUAUGUAUUGACUCCCCUAAAUUUCCUGGUAUGUUUACUUUUAUAAAUUUUGACACCUUUUAACGAAAAUUCUGGCUUCGCCACUGAUUUGAGCAAAUAUAUUCUGCCACCUCAAGAUAUGGAUCUACAAGUGGUGUGAAGGAAAAAUUCUGGAGGUAGAGGGAGAAAAAUAGUUUGUAUUUGGUUGAAUAUUACUUUCAACUUUUCUUCAUUUUUUUGUUUCUGGACUUGGUGUUUUUUGUAUCUUGAGUUGAUUAGCAUCUGUAAAUUGUUCACACGUUUUAUGUGUAGUUGUUAGAAAUAGUGUAUGUUGUAAAUUUGAGGUUUUGAAUUCAAGAGAUGUAACUCAUUAGCUUGAACUUGGUAUAAUUAAGUUCCAUGUGUAUAUUUCUGCAUUUGAAGGGGUGCUUGGUAUAAAUGUACGAAGGGGGUGCCAAGUUUUCUUGGAAUCAAUUUUUAUGUUAUGUUAUAAUAUAUAUUUUUUACAGCACUUCACUAUAGCAGUUAAAAAAUAUCGAAACAAACGAGAUUGUUAUAAAGAGGUUUGAUUGUAUAAAUUGUUGCCGAAUAGGCAACACUUGGAACAUUAACGCAUAAAUGCUUUAGGUAUCACUUUUAAAUAUAAAAUUAACCACGUUAUUAUAACUACAAUAACAAAAACAAUGUUGGACAAUCAAUCACACCCAAAAAAAAGUAUAAUACAAUAUUAUCAUUAUUAAUAUUUUUUUGAAUCAGGCUUUCUAAUCCUCAUUAAAAGAAAUAUUUAAAUUAAUUAAUCUUCAUAACAAUUAGAAAAUCAGUUUAUAGUUUUACGUCUCAAAAGUUAGAAGAAAACUAAAAAUAAAAAUAUAGUGUAUAAAUUUUAUUAAUAAUAAUUUUAUAUAAAAAUAUAGUUUUUAUAUAAUAAUUCUACCUCAUACCCUAUUUUUUCUUUAUAAUAUUGUAAGUUAAUUUAUUCUUCAUAUUAUUGGUGCAUGUCAAUCAUGAAACGACUACAAACAAAUAUUAAAGUGUAUUUAAGAUCAUAAAUUUCAAACUCAAUUAAAUAAGUUUAUUUAAAUUAAAAGAAUGAGUAAUUUUUAACUUGUUAAAUUAAAAUAUAAUAUUUACGGGUCCCACUCGGUACUUUUGACUUUUAAGCGCCAAGAUUACGUUCUUAUUUCACUUUCCUCGUAGCCUCAUAAGGGAGGAGACCAGAAAUAGUCAUUUUUUUCAUCCUUGUACUGCCAUUUCUGCAGUGUGUCUGCAAUUAUUAUUACUAUUUUGUAUUAUUAGUGUGAACAAAAAAUAUUUCCAAAACUUGAUUUAGAAUAAUAUCAAGACUCUAUGACUUAGAUCCAUUAUCUUUCCCAUUUUUGUUCUUGGUAAUUGUUCUUACUAUAGUACCAAGCCAACAGAAACCUCAAAAAACAUUUGCCAAAAGAACAAAAAUUUCACCUGCUUUUGUUUUCUGCUAUUUUUGAGGUACUUCUCAAUUCUUUGUUCUUUGCUGGUUCUUGUUCUUUUUUUUUGGUUUUUCUACUUUCUUACUGUUUUUUUUUUGUGUUUUUCAUGAUCUUGAUUCCCCACCUUUAUCUAUAACAUACAACAAAUGGCCUAGUUGAUGUCACUUUUUUUGUUUUUUUAUUGAUGUUACUUUGAGAUCAAGAAUCCAAGCUUAAAUUAAUUGGUCUACUCAAAAUUCCAAUCUUUUUAAGAAUCCCUCUAAAUAUUUGACUAUGUAGCACCGCCCUUCUUUAUUGGUUAUUGUUAUUGUGUUUCAUCUAUUUCCUGGUGAUACUGUUAUUAUUUCUAUGGUUUCUAUUGAUGGUACUGAUAUGCUGUCUCUUUUACUCUUUUUGCCGAUUUUCUAUCAGAAACAACUCUCUAGUCGAUAGGACACUACCCUCCUCACACCUCAUACCUGUGUAAUUUUACUAGAUUGUUGUUGUAGUUGAAUCUUGGUUGCUAAUUCUUGUUCUUCUUCCUUUUGUCUUUUUUGGAUUUUCUGGGGUUGAAUUUGAAGCAAGUAUUGAGUUAAGAAUAUCCCUUUUUUUGUUUGUAAUAUUGUAAGUUAAUUUAUUCUUCAUAUUAUUGGUGCAUGUCAAUCAUGAAAUGACUACAAACAAUAC